rnacentral:rRNA from 1 species
AUGGCCGCUUUUCGGGAUGUACUGAUGACAUGUGAGUUAGUCGAUUUGGGGUUUUCUGGCAUACCCUAUACAUACGACAAUAUGCGUUCGGGAUCGGCAAAUGUACGCGUGCGGCUGGAUCUUGCGGUGGCAACAAAUGAGUGGAGGAACAUGUUCGCAUACUCUUCUGUGCAACACCUUGCAUCCCCUUGUUCAGACCAUAUCCCAUUGCUGCUGAAGUUUGAUGCAGAGCAGGAGAGGCCUAGAGCCAAAGCACGGCGAUAUGAAAUCUUUUGGGAAGGGGACGCAGAAUUGCCAGAUCUUGUAAACAAGGCGUGGUCGGCCUUCGGUGCAAUGGAGAACCUGGGACAGGUUAGUGCUGCCUUGCAAUCAACCAUGACAUCACUCCGGUCAUGGAGUAACAGAAGGUUUGGGAACGUUACAAGGGAAAUCAAUAAAUCACGCAGCCAGCUUGAGGAACUAAUGCGAAUGAAUGCUGAUAGACAGGAAAUAAGGAAGGUGUCUGACAAACUAAACGAGCUUCUGUACAAAGAGGAGAUGCUAUGGUUGCAACGCUCGCGUAUCAUGUGGCUGAAAGAGGGAGAUAGGAACACAAAGUUUUUUCAGAGUAAGUCUGUAUGGCGUGCACGGAAAAAACAGAAUUAA